UGGAGGAGCCGCUGUACGCUGCUGUGGAGGAUGGCGGGCAGACAGAGGCCGCGCGGGAGGACACAACUGCUCCUCCCGGGGAAGACCCUCAGCAAGUGACCUACGCC